rnacentral:rRNA from 1 species
UACGUAGGGCGCAAGCGUUAUCCGGAAUUAUUGGGCGUAAAGAGCUCGUAGGCGGCUUGUCGCGUCGUCCGUGAAAACUUGGGGCUUAACCCUGAGCUUGCGGUCGAUACGGGCAUGACUGGAGUUCGGCAGGGGAGACUGGAAUUCCUGGUGUAGCGGUGAAAUGCGCAGAUAUCAGGAGGAACACCGGUGGCGAAGGCGGGUCUCUGGGCCGAUACUGACGCUGAGGAGCGAAAGCGUGGGGAGCGAACAGG